UGUUCUGUGGCUUAGUUGGUUAAAGCACCGGUCUAGCGAAUACGGAUUCGUGGGUUCGAAUCCCACCAGAACGC
rnacentral:tRNA from 1 species